GAGAGUUUGAUCCUGGCUCAGAAUGAACGCUGGCGGCGUGCUUAACACAUGCAAGUCGAACGAGAAAGGGAUUGCUUGCAAUCCUGAGUAGAGUGGCGCACGGGUGAGUAACACGUAGAUAAUCUACCUUCAAGCCCGGGAUAACCCUUCGAAAGGAUGGCUAAUACCGGAUGCAGUUUCAGUACACAAGUGCUGAGAUGAAAGAUUGCCUCUUCUUGAAAGCAAUUGUUUGGAGAUGAGUUUGCGUACCAUUAGCUUGUUGGUGGGGUAAAAGCCUACCAAGGCUGCGAUGGUUAGCUGGUCUGAGAGGAUGAUCAGUCACACUGGAACUGGAACACGGUCCAGACUCCUACGGGAGGCAGCAGUGAGGAAUUUUGCGCAAUGGGGGAAACCCUGACGCAGCAACGCCGCGUGAGUGAAGAAGGCCCUUGGGUCGUAAAGCUCUGUCAACUGGGAAGAAGUUGUUAUUGUUUAAUAAAUGAUAGCAUUGACGGUACCAGUGGAG
rnacentral:rRNA from 1 species